rnacentral:rRNA from 1 species
UACGAAGGGGGCGAGCGUUGUUCGGAUUUACUGGGCGUAAAGGGCGCGCAGGCGGCGCAUUUUGUCAGGCGUGAAAGCCCCGGGCUUAACCUGGGAACUGCGUUUGAUACGGAUGGGCUAGAGUUCGGGAGAGGAGAGUGGAAUUCCCAGUGUAGAGGUGAAAUUCGUAGAUAUUGGGAAGAACACCAAUGGCGAAAGCAGCUCUCUGGGACGGUACUGACGCUGAGACGCGAAAGCGUGGGGAGCGAACAGG